rnacentral:sRNA from 1 species
AGCACCGUACGCACUGGCGAAAGCGCGUGUAAAUGUAGCAGCGGUCGUCGAUAGCGAUUUAUGGACUUUUUUACGCAGCAGCAGCAGACGGCGCGAGUUUAGAAUUUUGUUUUUGCAUUCCGUAACGGUUCAAGAUAUUUGAAUAAUUUCGUCGGUUUUUUUUAUUUUAUUUUGGUGUUGUUUGAGUGUCUAUGAGUGUGUGCAUGUGUUAGUAGCAAGUGAUUAAAAGUGGAAUAGCAGCAAGAGAGAAAAAAAAUUAUAAAUGUCUUAAAAAAAUCUCAAAAAA